UCGAGCGGCCAAAGUGGGGAGGUUCACCUGUUCCCAUUUCGAACACAGAAGUUAAACUUCCCGACGGUCUGGACAUUACUCCUGAACAAGGGGGAAAUCCAGAUCGCUGCUCACU
rnacentral:rRNA from 1 species